rnacentral:rRNA from 1 species
AUUGAACGCUGGCGGAAUGCUUUACACAUGCAAGUCGAACGGCAGCACGGACUUCGGUCUGGUGGCGAGUGGCGAACGGGUGAGUAAUAUAUCGGAACGUAUCCAAUAAUGGGGGAUAACUAAUCGAAAGGUUGGCUAAUACCGCAUACGUCCUACGGGAGAAAGCUAGGGACCUUCGGGCCUGGCGUUAAUGGAGCGGCCGAUAUCUGAUUAGCUAGUUGGUGAGGUAAAGGCUCACCAAGGCGACGAUCAGUAGCUGGUCUGAGAGGACGACCAGCCACACUGGAACUGAGACACGGUCCAGACUCCUACGGGAGGCAGCAGUGGGGAAGUUUGGACAAUGGGCGCAAGCCUGAUCCAGCCAUUCCGCGUGAGUGAAGAAGGCCUUCGGGUUGUAAAGCUCUUUCGCAAGGGAAGAAAACUUAUCCUCUAACAUAGGACGAGGUUGACGGUACCUUGAUAAGAAGCACCGGCUAACUACGUGCCAGCCGCCGCGGUAAAAC